UCCGGGUUUCGCCCGGCAGUCUCGCCAGAGUCCUCAGCAUCACCUGUUAGCAACUGACAAUAAGGGUUGCGCUCGUUAUGGGACUUAACCCGACACCUCACGGCACGAGCUGACGACAGCCAUGCACCACCUGCGCAGAAGUCCCUUGCGGGAGGCUCUGGCUUUCACCAAAGUUUCCUCUACAUGUCAAACCCAGGUAAGGUUCUUCGCGUUGCCUCGAAUUAAACCACACGCUCCGCUGCUUGUGCGGGCCCCCGCCUAUUCCUUUGAGUUUUAACCUUGCGGCCGUAGUCCCCAGGCGGUGAACUUAAUGCGUUAGCUGCGGCACUGAUCGGGUCAAUCCGACCAACACCUAGUUCACAACGUUUAGGGCGUGGACUAC
rnacentral:misc_RNA from 1 species